UAGUCAUAUCUCUCUGAGACCUAGAGCUGUGCAGAUAAAAACAAAAAUGAAAAAGAACCCUUAGUGCUAUCAACUCCCUUCCUUCUGAAGUCAUCACAGCUCAGGUAAAGCAGUUCACUACAGAGUAAGUGCAGGCUGGGGUAUGUAAGAGCAGAGUGCAUGUUUGAUACCUACGAGAUUGUUCGCUGACUGUUACUGCCGUGCAAAAGGGUCACAUCAGAUAUUAGUAGCAAGAAAAUUCUAGAUGUCCCGAUAUCUAUCCACCCUUGUUCAUUUUUGGCUGUGCCUGUUUUGGGCUGCCUAGUGUGCAGCAGGUUGCUUACUAUUUUAAAAAUUCAAUAAAAAUAGGAGGGCAGCAAGCAGUGAGUGUAUAGUUGUGUUUAUACUGUGUAUGUACAGACAGAGCUGUAUAUCCUUGAUUGAAAUCCUCUGUUCAGCAGAGGCUCCUUUGGUUAGGUGCUUUGUAAAGAUUUAGUUUUUAAGUCCUGUCUGAGUCUACUCUCACUAUUCUCAGCUCUAUUUUGUAGCACUUGGCCAUGCAAAGUGAUGCUCCCAAACAGGGCAUUGGAGGAGAUUCAGCUCAGCAAAGCUGCAGGCAGAGCAGAACUUGUUGCCACUGUUUUCCAUAUGUUCCUCUCCAUGGGAGCCUGACUGGACCUCGACCUGAGGAAGACGCAAAAUGGAAACUUAAUGGACAAGCAAGUCCCACCCCCAGGGAAGGGGAUUAAAAUCUGUGUUCACAGGCUGAGAGCAGGUGUCUGUGAUGAGACCCCAUGCUGUGACAUGGAUGCAGCACAUUCUUACAUGAAAAGCCCUGGCUGAUGAAAUGACCACAGGAAGACAACAUGGACCCCUCCCAGCACAAUCAGAAGAAGCUUAAUUAAGCUCUGUGGUUAAUUUUGAAACAAGGUGCUUCUCAAACAUGAAAGAAAGCUCCAUCUGAGAAAUUCAUUAGCCAAAUUAGAGGUAAAAUAAUGAGGGGUGAGAAGGAGGUAGCAAGGGAUGGGGGUGAGAGGGAAAAUGUGGACAAGGAUAGCUAGAGACAGUUCUCUGAUAGGGUAGCCGAUUAAAACAAUGGUACUGUACCUUGACUAAUGUUGAGCUAAUUAAAACGGUAUAGGACAAAGCACUUCUAAAUAUACUAUGGGGAUCAAUCUUGCUUUGGUAAAUCCAUCCCCAGUGGUAUUUCAUUGAAUUCAGUGGGUUUUCUUCUGGGAUGAAUUUGUACUGAUAACCUAAUAAUUCUUUUCUGUCUUUAAUUUCUAAGGAUGUUUUGUCAGAAGCAUGGCAAGGAACUUCAGUCUGGCUUUCAAAAGUGCUGAACACCCAAACUCCUACCAAGGCCUCCUGAAAUUACAGCAGUGACCCCACAUUUCAGAGGCACAGCGGGAGCUCAAGUGGCAUACAAGCUGUGAGACCCAGAGUGUCCAAGCUGGGCUUUGCCCAGGGAAAGAGAGACGCAGGUACCUCGGCAUAAGCUGCAUCCUAACAAGGGUAGGAACUGUGCCAGGAGAGUAUGUUCCCGUGCCUUUUAAUAAGGGGAUGGUAAACAGAAGGUCAGGCCCCCCACCCCAAGCCAUGGUGCUGUAUUGCAGUCAGUCAGUGAAGCAUCCAGAUGAAGCCUUCCACUACACCAGCCCUUUGGAUGAGAGAAAUUUUGUUUGACUCCAGUUAGUACUUGUAUACUCCCCUGGAAGUUGUCCUGCAGUGUUUCCAUACCAGCCCUUCCUUCACCUUUUGCCACAAGCCAACUAUGGACAUUUGUUUGUUUGCAUAAGGUACAGGCACAUACUUUUAAAAAGAUCUUAUCCCACAGCUAUGUCAAGUUCCCAACACCAUUUCAUCAUCUAAAAUGUUUCAUUCUUUGCAGCUGAAGUGAGAGCCUGUUGCCUGCUUACAGUGACUGAUAAAAUGGUAACCACAAGAAGUGUGUGUGGGCUGGUUCACGACCCUGAAAAAACCAUCCAUGCAAUAAUCCUUGUCUUUGGUCUACCACUGAUCUAGCCAUAAAGAAAUUGACAGAUUUUUGUUACCUAACAGCACCCUUUUCUGGGAGAUAUAUAAGGAAACUUAAAUAACAGGUCUCUAUGGGAAGCAUAUGGUACAGCAGCAGAAAAUUGUGACUCCAGUAGUGGGACUCCGCCAUGGUAACCUCCCUCAACAUGGGGAAUACAUGUGUCCUCUCCUAGUCGGUCUGUGUUUUCAACCUCUUUUAAAGAGACAAUAAAUUCUUUCAAUGGACAAAUGCUCACUGGAAAAAGAGAUCGCUUUCCCAGGGCAGGGCUGGACUUCAUUAUGCCUACUGAGGCUCUGCUUAGGCUCCACUCUUCCAGGAGUGUGGAUGGUUCUCCAGUUCAUCUCAGGCUCACUGAAAACCUGUGCUCACUUUUUUUUUUUUUUGGUCUGAUCCUAUUGCUUAAAUACAAACUCGGACACUUGGCUGGUUCUGCUCAUACAGCAGCAGACAGCAGCUUCUCCUACACCCUCUGACAUCUUGAGGAUUGGCACUUCCACUCUUACAAUGAGGAGAACUGGCAGCAGGAAGUUCAAGGAAGGCAGAGAUGAGAAGAAAGAGGAAUUCCUGCCAGACACUCCAGGAAUGUUGAAUUGUCUCUUUGGGUCUACAUCUCCUGACUGCAUGUCAAUCUAGGAAGAAGAGCUCACAAAUCAACCCCUUCUCAGGUGCUUUGAACCAACUCUUAAAUUUCAGGAAAAGCCACACUUGGGUAAGCAACGUAAGAUGAUGCACCAAGCCACACACAUGGGAGUGCCAGGCAAACUGUUCAGUAUGGAAUGUUGUGAGUGACAGGAGACAGAUGUACAUAAACCUCACUGGACACACAGGUUUCCCUCUGCUUUAGGGAACACACAAGUUCCAGUUUCUUCCCUGAAGAUCUUCCCAUUGCAAGACUCUGCUCUUAUGUUCUCAGAACAUUGCCAGGUUAAGUUGUUUAAACAUUUAAUGGUUAAAUCAUUAAACUGAGUAUUUUUCUUUCCCUGUUGUCCAUGCAAAGCUAAAGCUUUGGGAGAAACUCAAUCAAAAUAUUUUAAGUUUUUGGGUUUUCUAUGAAGUUGAGAUUGAAAUCAAGGAAAGUUAUUUGUCUGGAAAAACAAAAAACAUACAGCCUUCAUUCAGAUGCCCUAACACUGUGCUGCUUGAAACUGAGUAUCUGCUUUCAGGAUGUUACUGUGCAUAUGCUUGUUUGCCAUUUUAGUGGACAUUUUUCUCAAAUGUGGCGAAUUGUAUACAUAUAUAUACAUAUAUAAAAUAAAAAUCACCAUAUGUCUGUGUCUGAAGAAGACUUCUUGAAGCUUAGCAAUUGAAGUAUCUGAAGAGUCCUACUUUCAGAACCUUCCAGUGAGGAUGCUUCAUCCUCUCAUGCCUAGAGACCAAAUGAAAUGGUCUUGCUACCAGGCGACUUGGCAUGUUCCAGCCAGCAAUACAACCUAGCCCUUCCUUACAGUGGAUGAAGGAUAGUGUGCUACUGCCGAAGGAGAACAAAGCUAGGGAAUUUUCUUUUUCAGUUACAAUAUCUAGAACUGUUAAUGCCCAGAGAAAAAGGCAUGAAUGGGAUGAGAUAGAGUUUUGGGCAAAGGCUGAGCAAGGGAGAUCAUAUGAACUUUAAUAUCAAUAUUUUCUCAUUUUAAACCUGUUUUAUUCUGGUAUCUUUGUAUUCUUUAUUUACGAUGCAAUUAUGUGCAUUUAAAAUAUCCUUAUUAUUUACAGGCAAGCACAGUAAUAGUAAAAUACAUGCAUUGUUUUCUUGCCCUGUAGCUCCAUAGAAGGUUUAUGAAAUUGUCUGUGACAGUUCCUUGACGGGAAAAACCAGAGAUAUUACUAUAGUAACAUUCAAAGGUGAUUGCAACAAAAAUAAAUUAAUUCAAACUAAGGCAAUAUUUGCUCACAUAACAUGAGUCAUGUGGAUUGUGAAUUCCUGACAACGGUGAAGAAGGAAAAAAUCAUCAAGGAAGAAUGACAAUGUGUCCUCACUCCAUACUGCAGAAUCCAAAGGCUCUCACUGUCAACCAAGGAAAAAACAAUAACACAAAAGUGGAACAUAUAUUCCUGUUUAGCAGACUUAAGUUAUGCACUAAAAGUGGGCCAAGUUCACUUUCACAUAUGCUUUGGGUUGCCUCUUGAUUUCUGUGCAAGGGCCUGUUUAUAGCAGGGAUUUAUCUGUGCAGAGAGGGAUCCAGCAUCCCUUGGAUCAAGCUGUGAAUAUGAAUGAUGCUUCAGAGAUUUUCAUCACAGAUCAGAAAUGUGCAGAAAUAAUCUAAAAGCAGAUUUUACCCUGCACAAGAACCUGGCAUCAAAUGUGGGCAUUCCUGUUCUACUCCCAGUAAAGUAUACAUAAUAAUAAAAAUAAAUGUAAAGCCUCUGUGCUCCUGCAGACCUCUGAGCUCUUAAACAGAUAAAACCAAGGUGCCAAAUUCUGCUUUUCCUGUGCAGCUCCAUUGAUGUGCCAGGGAUACAGAGUCUGACAUUAGGAGGUUAGCAUAGUGCAGGUGGGAUGCAGAACACCACAGAAGGACAAGAUUAUGAUUUUUCCAUACAGAAAGCCUGAGGAGGGGCUCCUGCUUUGCAUGAUUUCUCGUUAGAUGACAGGUGAAGAAAAAAAAUGAAUAGAAGACUGCAUUUCUCUCUAAUGUGCUGUAGCAGUUUGGCUUGAUACAAUGGCAGCUGUGAGCCUUGGGAGAUGCUCCUCGAUACUGUGAAGGCACAGGGAAAAUGCAGCCAUAUCACACACAGAGUUCCCUGUCUCUCUGCCCCUAAUAUAGGCUACAUUUACUCAAGAAUGGGCAAAACAUGAUUCAGACGCCAUCAACACACCAAAAUAAAUUGUAUUGUCUUGCCUCAUAAAUCAAGGAAUGGCUCUCAUAUAGAGUGAUUUGCCCAACUGCCAUUCUCAGCCUACCUGAGAGUCUGAAUCCAGGAGAGGCAAUUCCACAAGCAGUUAGCUGCCUUGGUGGAGGGGAAUGCCAUGCAUCCAAGGGCAUGGGGUGGGGAGGUAGAGGAGGACAGGACAGAGGCAAGGGGAAGAAUUUAACUCUAUCCUCUAAAAUCCAACCCUCUACUUCAAGAAAAAAUAUUUUUAAUUACCUUGACAGCCAGUGUAGCCAGCUCUGAAGUGGAAAACUUCAAAGAAAUUGUACUUCUAUUGCCUAAAUUUUAAUUAGUCUGUGGGUAAACGGGAGCUUUGAAGUUGUCUACACAGCAAUUUCUAUGUGCCCUGUUGACUUGAAGAAACCAAAGACUCCAGCAAUAUUCAAAGCCACCCUCUGCAGACACGUAAACGAUUCCACAAAGUGCCAAUGUGGGGAUUUAGGUCUUAGCCUGAAGAUCUUUUCAAGGAUGUGCAUACUAAUUCCAAAAAGAGACCUUCCAUGCAGACCUACAGGUGUCCAAAGAACAGGUGCAAAGUCAGGUUCCCAGAAGUGUCGAGAGCUGCAGACCCAGCACAGACCACUGAGUCGUAGCUCAGGCUGAGAAGCUCUGAGCAAUAAAUUUGUGUAAGUGACAAAAUCCUCCAGAUUGUAGGAAAAUCACAUGGUGCUCAUUUCCAUGAUAAUUCGUGCUUUGGUUGAGCUACUUUUGACUUACAGUGAGAGAUGAAUUUGACCUGCUCUCUCUUUCUCAUCUGCUGGGCUGCAGCUGUGCCCUCUAGCACUGUAUAUGUAUUCCAAGCUCAUCUAGAUGUUGAAACAAAAGCACAAAUUAGAUGACAAUCUUCCAUUCUUUCUGUGUGCUGCCAAUACCUGUUUGUCACUAUAAUGGUAUUAAUCAUCUUUUAUUUAUAGCAGAACAUUGGAAGCUCCCAUUUUUCCCUUUUGAUUUAUUUGUAGGACAACAGGUGCACAACUUAAGCAGGUGUAUGGAUGUGUGCAUAUGUUGUGAGUUUGCUGAUAGCCACAAAACAUCUUUAGUAAAUUAUUACUUGUAUCAAAGCUGCCAUUAUUUUUAUUUCACGCCUAAACUUAAUUCCACAGCUGUUAGCUCCCACACUCCAUUAGCUGUUUUGUGUCACAACUGCAGUAAUGCAGCUCAGGGAUGUAAGACCUCUUCUCUCACUCUCCAAAAGCCCACACAAACAAAACAUCUCUAAAUCAUACACUGCUUCCAGUUUCUUCUGAAACUUGGGAGAGGUACUGAAAAUGUAUCAACAGUUUCCAUUGGCAACUGCUGCAGAAUAGCAUGUUACUGGUUCAACAGCUGACAUGAAAUGCCUUUCCAUAUGUAAAGCUCUGCCUUAAACACACAAGGGACACGAAGAAAAAAACUUCGUACUUGCUUUUUCUUUUGUCUAACAGUAAAUGGGUAGUGUUGAAGUGCUGGAUGCUUUGAAAAAAUGCAGUUAUAAUUUUGGAUCCAAGCUGUGAGAACGCUCAUUGGAGACAACUGUUCUCCCAUGGGCUAGCCUUGAAUAAACAAUCACAGCUCUGUGUGAUAUUAGUUCUUAACCAGAUUCUAGCAUUGAGCUGUUGCCUCGCCAUGGUUACUUGCCUUUUAAACCAAUGUUUCUUUUCCUUGUUUUUUGCCAAGAUUCUUGCUUGCUUGGCAGUGGCUCAUUCUCGUUUGAACUUUUGCCCUAUUUUAAUCUCCACCAAAUUUUUACUCUAAAAGAACCUUUUCACUGAUAUCUCUUUGUUGCCCUGAAUUUCUUUUCUGUGUGUGAGAACUUACUCGGGGACAUGGCUUACGGGAAAGAGACCAAGUGACUGUCUUCUUCUGAGUAUCCAGCAGCUGGCAGACAUCUGUGAGAUUAGAAAACAUAGCCACAACAGCAUAAGACAGUAGCCACUCCCAAAACAAAACUAAAUAGGAAAUCAGGAGACACACAAACUACCAGGUCAUUCACUUGGAGAUUUAUUUGUGCUUGUCAGCUCCUGAGCUUGCCUUACUCCUUCAUCUGAGGAUAACCUCGUCAAAACCCAUGUAAGGGCAUCACUCUGACACACACAUUCCAACCCAGAAUCCCUCACUUGUCCUGUGCCUCUGGAGCUGACAGAGCACUGGGGGUCCCAUGGAUCAUAUUAAAGCCCUAAGGAAGGGGAACAUACCUCUGGUUGCUUUGAGUCAAUUCUCCAGGCAAUCCAGAAGAAACACACCAACAGUUUCUACAAAAAAAGCUAAAAUUCCUCCUUUACAAGAAAAGUAUGUUAUCUUGAAAUAUCUUUACUAUUUUUUGUUGUUGUUUUUUGUGGAGAUUCUUAAAUGAGAAAAUUAAUGGGAAAUUGCUGAAGGCCCUCCAAAAAUUUCUAGCCCCAUAGUUGAUUAACAUUAUUUCUGCUGCUGAAAAAGAAAAAACCUUCAGCUUUGUCUUAGUUGCUUAUUCAACUUCUUAUUCCUUGGCAAAUGUCACUGCAUGGUUGCCUAAAGGAAAGUGCAUGUGUAUAAUAUACAUGUGUUAUGAACAAGCUUCCUGGACGGGAGGGGCUGGGCUGCCCCUGUCCUGGCCCCGUGGAGGACGGUCGCCCAGUCCACCUGGGGAAAGCGUGGAGAACACAUUGGCAUGUUAAAAGAGCUCUGGGAGUGCAGCCCCCCUCCUCCCAAUUUGUGCCUUCACCCAGCCUUUUGGAAGAAUGGGGGUUUCUCCUGGUUGUAACCCCCACACCCUAGCAAGUUUGAAGACAGAGGGAAGCUGCCCCAAAGGGAAAGGCAGCAUUCUUCUACCUCAUUAAAAUGUGAAAAGGAGCGGCUCCGGCCUUGAUGGCCCAGCCACUGUUUGCUGUAACUACCUCAGAGGGAUACCUCUGCUUCGGGAUACCUCUGCUUCGACCAAGACCAAUGCAUAUGCAUUUUUAUAUGCAAAUAAAACUGCCCCUGUGAAUCCUGGGAGAGUUUUUUUGGAGAAACUGCACCCCAAGACAAGAAGCUAGAUGUGUCAGAGGAGAAUUAGAUAGUGCCCUAGCCGAGCAAGAAGUAGAUGCACCCCCUGGCCUGGUUUGAAGAAUCACCACAACCUGAGCUUAGAUACAAUGGGAACUGGCUAGCUGAAUUGACUUAGGCAGAAAAUAGGAAACUCUUGAAACUUUUCCCUGAGGGCAAAGAGCUGACUGCCACUGCUCUGCCUUCUGAUGGUUGACCAGAGAGAAUUGCCAGCUGUGUCUAUGGGAACAAGGACUCAGCAUCCACUGGGACAGCACCUGCUCCUUCAGAUGGCUGCAGCAGCGUGGAAAACUCCGAUCGGACUCUGCAAUCCUGCUGAUGACUUUAAUAAUGAGCUGAUCACUUUAAUAAAGAGCUGAAUAUUAAUAAAGGCAUAUGCCCUGUUCUUUUCACAUGUGCUUAUGUGGAUGAAUACAUACAAAAGUACAAAACCACAACAUAAGUAUUUCAUUCUAAUAGUUGGUUUUGGCAAAAUCCAUUUUCUUACCAGAAGCAUAACUUUCAAUUUUGCAGUGUUAAUAAAAUCACUGUUAUUACAAUUUAUUAAUCUCUCAGUCUUGGCUGUAUCAUUUGGGCUGAAUGUUUUAAUAUAAAAUAAAACACAGUUUAAACCUCUAGGACAACAUACAUUGUUUGUGUGCUGCAUGUAAAAUGAACCAGAGUAACAUCCUGCUGGCAUGUGCAUU